GGGGGGGGGCGGGAGCUACUUUUUCUCGCCGCCGCGGGAAUGGGGGGGGGGCUGCCGCGGGUGUGGGGGGACGGUUCGUACCGGGACGGGUCGGGGUGAGGCGAAAUGAGGGCACAGGGGGGGCUGGAUCCAGAAAUGGCAGCUCGGCAGCUCGAGUGUACUCCCAAACGUCACCGUCCACGUCAUGUCAAAAUAACCGGUUUUUAAGAAAAGCGGCUGAGACCAGCUCCAGAGAGAGGCUGAGUUAGAGAUGUGGUAACAGUCACGGCAGUGAACCUGGAGAUGUGUUUGUCGCGUUUUCUUUCCACACGUACACAUUUAAUGUCACCGUGGCCAUAUUUUCAAUAUACGAUAAAUAAAUUUUUAAUGCUUUA